AGCGUAGACGGCGCAGCAAGUCUGAUGUGAAAGGCAGGGGCUUAACCCCUGGACUGCAUUGGAAACUGCUGUGCUUGAGUGCCGGAGGGGUAAGCGGAAUUCCUAGUGUAGCGGUGAAAUGCGUAGAUAUUAGGAGGAACACCAGUGGCGAAGGCGGCUCACUGGGCCAUUACUGACGCUGAGGCACGAAAGCUGGGGGAGCAAACA
rnacentral:rRNA from 1 species